GUUAAGCGACUAAGCGUACACGGUGGAUGCCCUGGCAGUCAGAGGCGAUGAAGGACGUGCUAAUCUGCGAUAAGCGUCGGUAAGGUGAUAUGAACCGUUAUAACCGGCGAUUUCCGAAUGGGGAAACCCAGUGUGAUUCGUCACACUAUCAUUAACUGAAUCCAUAGGUUAAUGAGGCGAACCGGGGGAACUGAAACAUCUAAGUACCCCGAGGAAAAGAAAUCAACCGAGAUUCCCCCAGUAGCGGCGAGCGAACGGGGAGCAGCCCAGAGCCUGAAUCAGUGUGUGUGUUAGUGGAAGCGUCUGGAAAGGCGCGCGAUACAGGGUGACAGCCCCGUACACAAAAAUGCACAUACUGUGAGCUCGAUGAGUAGGGCGGGACACGUGGUAUCCUGUCUGAAUAUGGGGGGACCAUCCUCCAAGGCUAAAUACUCCUGACUGACCGAUAGUGAACCAGUACCGUGAGGGAAAGGCGAAAAGAACCCCGGCGAGGGGAGUGAAAAAGAACCUGAAACCGUGUACGUACAAGCAGUGGGAGCACAGAGCAAUCUGUGUGACUGCGUACCUUUUGUAUAAUGGGUCAGCGACUUAUAUUCUGUAGCAAGGUUAACCGAAUAGGGGAGCCGAAGGGAAACCGAGUCUUAACUGGGCGUUAAGUUGCAGGGUAUAGACCCGAAACCCGGUGAUCUAGCCAUGGGCAGGUUGAAGGUUGGGUAACACUAACUGGAGGACCGAACCGACUAAUGUUGAAAAAUUAGCGGAUGACUUGUGGCUGGGGGUGAAAGGCCAAUCAAACCGGGAGAUAGCUGGUUCUCCCCGAAAGCUAUUUAGGUAGCGCCUCGUGAAUUCAUCUCCGGGGGUAGAGCACUGUUUCGGCAAGGGGGUCAUCCCGACUUACCAACCCGAUGCAAACUGCGAAUACCGGAGAAUGUUAUCACGGGAGACACACGGCGGGUGCUAACGUCCGUCGUGAAGAGGGAAACAACCCAGACCGCCAGCUAAGGUCCCAAAGUCAUGGUUAAGUGGGAAACGAUGUGGGAAGGCCCAGACAGCCAGGAUGUUGGCUUAGAAGCAGCCAUCAUUUAAAGAAAGCGUAAUAGCUCACUGGUCGAGUCGGCCUGCGCGGAAGAUGUAACGGGGCUAAACCAUGCACCGAAGCUGCGGCAGCGACGCUUAUGCGUUGUUGGGUAGGGGAGCGUUCUGUAAGCCUGCGAAGGUGUGCUGUGAGGCAUGCUGGAGGUAUCAGAAGUGCGAAUGCUGACAUAAGUAACGAUAAAGCGGGUGAAAAGCCCGCUCGCCGGAAGACCAAGGGUUCCUGUCCAACGUUAAUCGGGGCAGGGUGAGUCGACCCCUAAGGCGAGGCCGAAAGGCGUAGUCGAUGGGAAACAGGUUAAUAUUCCUGUACUUGGUGUUACUGCGAAGGGGGGACGGAGAAGGCUAUGUUGGCCGGGCGACGGUUGUCCCGGUUUAAGCGUGUAGGCUGGUUUUCCAGGCAAAUCCGGAAAAUCAAGGCUGAGGCGUGAUGAC
rnacentral:rRNA from 1 species